AUGCCUACGGGGGGCAGCAGUCGGGAAUAUUGCGCAAUGGAGGAAACUCUGAAGCAGUGACGCCGCGUAUAGGAAGAAGGUUUUCGGAUUGUAAACUAUUGUCGUUCGGGAAGCGAAAGGACAGUACCUAAGGAGGAAGCUCCGACUAACUACGUGCCAGCAGCCGCGGUAAUACGUAGGGAGCGAGCGUUAUCCGGAAUUAUUGGGUGUAAAGGGUGCGUAGAGGGGAAAACAAGUUAGUUGUGAAAUCCCUCGGCUUAACUGAGGAACUGCAACUAAAACUAUUUUCGUUGAGUGAAGGAGCG
rnacentral:rRNA from 1 species